ACCUUCUUCCCCGCCGCGGUACGCCUCCUGCCUCCAUCCCCCUCACGUCACGUCGCCUGCUCUUCCUCCUGUCCUUUUGCUUGCCUUCCCUGCCUCUUCUUGCGUGCGCCGUUGUCCCGUGUGACUGCGUAGACGGGCCGGGUGCACAUCUCCUCUGGUGAAGUGUGCCCCCGCCCCCGCCUCGGCUCCCCUCGUGCACGCACUACCGUGAUCUUCUCCCCCAUCCCCGAUCCGAAAUCUCCUCGCCCACACUUUCCAUGGAAGGCGCCCAGCAGGUCCGCGCGAUCCACUCCCCCACCCUAUCUCUAGGUCGAUCCGCGCGAUCCACUCCCCUGAUCUGCCUCACAUCCAUGGAAGUAUCCGAUCUGCCGCUUCCAAACUCUCCACAGUGCCCCCGCCCCGACGUGCCCCUCCCCCGUCCGUCUCCAGCGUGCUCGUCGCCCCCGGCUGCCCGUGCCCCUGCGGCCCUGCCCCUGCCCCGCGAUGCGCUCUGCUCGCCAAGCACGCCCACUCCCCAUGCCCGCCACCCCCGGUGCCGCGAUGCCCGCCUAACCCCCCUUCCCCUGCGACGACGGCAUGUUGCGCGGAUCGGCAUGGUUGUGCGAAUCGGCGCGACGUGGGAGCUCGGCCGCAUGAGGUGCCUCGUCGACGGUGGUCCAUGGACAUGCCCCACGCCAUCGCCCCCGGCCUCGCGUUGCUCACGAAAGUCCCCCAGCCCCUGCGUCAGAAAUUAUAAUUUGGGUCAGAGAAAUGCAGUUCAUUCUUAUAAGCCCCACAAUCUACAUGUUCAUUCUGCUAAGCCCCUCGACUCUCGAUGGCAAUGGUGAGCAGGCUGCCGCCACGCUGCGGAGCCAACGCUCCCCACAACACCCGCGGUCCUGGAAGGUGAGGAGAGCACUGCCCUUCUUCCAACGAGGUAAGGAACUGACAAAUGCGCGUGGUGUGUUACGCUUACCAUGUAGGAGACGGUGGAGAGGGGUCUGGAGGAUAACAUGAGUAUUGUGGAGGUAGACGACGUCUCCUGAAAAUGCUAAAUUUAGUUUAUGUGCUGCUUCUGAAUGCAGGCGAUCAGUUUUUUAUUGGUUUUAUCUGUCGGGUCCAAUUAGAAGGUCUCUGUCUAACCUAUUACUGUUAGAUAUCAUAGCGCUCAAUGUUGGAGGCACCUAUGUUCUUCUUGCAGGGUACCUGAAUCUUGGCUUUUGAUCGGUUUGUCAUGGCAUACAUUGGCACACUUUCUUAUAAGUGGCGGUGUCGUGUUUAGCAUAACACACGAUGAUUAUUUUUUUUGUCUAAUCUGUUCAAGAGGGUGUCCUUUUACAAAGGGACAUACAGAUGUUGUUUGAUCUCAGUUCAUUGUAACUUUUUGAGGGUGCCAGUGGGGGUGGUAAUGGGCUCUAAAUUUGCACUAUAAAAUUUAAGAAUCGGAUCGGAUUAGGAUCAGACUAUUUCUUUUUAAACUAAAAUUAAUUAAGGGCUCAAUCAAAUUAUGAAGAAAUAUUUGGAUAGUGGUCCAUUAUAAUCCCUAGGUGCCGGUGGACGUUUAAAGGAUCUCCGGCCCUUGAAUUUUUCUUCUUUGUCUCUAGCCAGGCUAGGCAAGGUUAAGUAAAUGAACUGAAUAUGUCCAAUGUAGCCUUUUUCCUGUGAUUAUUUAUAAUCUAUAAAUUGAAUGAUGCUACCGUGAGGACUUGGAUAAUUCAACGAAAUUUCUCGAAUUCAUUUUUUUAGUUUCUUGUAGCGUUGAUCGUGAUUGGAAGACGAUUGAAGCAUGUGUCGGCUCAAAGACUGUUAUACAGGUUCAGAAGAAUGGUGCGCGCGAGCAUCUACCCCCACCUCAGGCCAAAACGAAAGGCAGCUCAUCCAUGUCCAUAGAAAGCAUCUAAUAAUGUUUCUCAAACUAUUUUAUUACAAGGACAACCUACCCAGCGGCAGCAAGGUUCUGUCAUGCCUAUGGAUACUGCUACUGUGAGAAACACAAAUGUGAAUGUGGCAGUGCCGUCGUGGGACGAUUUUUUUUUCUCGAAAGCGCAGGGGAACUGCACGGCCGCCGUGGGACGAUACUCUUGCUCAAUCUCUUAGUGCUGGUGCAACAAAUAACUGUUCAGGUAGCACAGAGAGUCCGUCUGGUACUUGGCCAACUUCUGAAGCAGUUGAGCAAGAAAUUAUGGUUCCAUCACUCCGUGUGGUUGAGCUGAUGGCUUUCAACUGAGUUUGAGAAACAUCUGACGCCCUAUCUGCAACAACCCUGAUUAUUGACAGCAAGCCUAGCAAGGGUCAGCGCAAUUCUUGCAGAAAUUUGUUUGGGCGAAAUAUUAGUUGUUACUGAUUCUAAGCUUGGAAAUGUUAUAAAAGAAAAGCUGGUUAGUGGUGUUUGUCAAUUUAUUGCUUUCUUUACAUGGAUAAGCCAUCCUUAAAUAUUCAACGCGCUAUUGCAUAAAAUUGGCUAUCUCUACAAUAGUGUUGUGAUGGAGCUGAUGUGAGGGCUGAGAAAUCAGCUCAUUGAGCUUAUAAGUGGGUUGGGUACAUAAGACCUGGGUCCAAUGAGCUUGGGAUUGUCACACAACUUGUUUUUGGCUUAGUGGGUUCAGUCCCGAGAAGGUGAGUCUUGUAUUGGUGCUACCGGCCAUCUUAUUUAUCAUGUUGUUAUGUGCUCCAUUUUUUGCUUUUAUUGUAUCAACAUUUGUCCUUGGCAUGAAAUCAUCUGGAAACAUCUCUCAACUAAAAACAUGAAAUCAUCUGGAAACAUCUCUCAACUAAAAACAAUGUCAGGGAUCAAUCUUUUUACCGAAGUCUCUAUUCUUGUCUGAACAUUAUGCAAGUGGUUUUCUUUGAAAUCAUAAGCAUGGAGUGCAUCUAUUUAAAGAUAAAGCUUGGACAACCAAUCAUUUAUUAUCCGAGAAUUUAAUUUGGUUUUAUUAAUUAAUUUAAACCUUUCUAUAGGAAGAGAGUGGCUCUUCACUCCCAUCGGACUGACAAAAAGCUAACGUUCCGGAGAAAGAAAUGUAGUUUGGUUAUGUGGUUUUGCAGACCUGUAUCUAUUUGUGUAAUACAUUUGCCUGUAUAUGUGCAGCUUAUGUCCAUAAUUCUUCAAGUCUACAUAUGACUGCAUCAUUCUUCAGCCUUCUAGACUCCUUCCACUUCUGCCCCUCGGAUACAAGGUUAGUUUGAGACCGUGAGCAAGCAUACCCAUCCAUCUUUUUCUCUUUCUUCAACCAUAUAGGUACAACAAUAAUUCAUCUGCCUGCUACUAAGACAUAUCUGCUCUUUUCAUUGUUCUGAGUUGGGUAAUCAUUUCUGCUCAGAUUAACAAGUAUUCAGUACACCAAUUUUUUAAUCUUUAUAAGAUAAGAAGCAAAGUCAACAAACCAUGGAGCAUGUAGUAUCGUAGCUAUUUGUGCCAGAGAUAUUUUAGCUACAGUUUGAUAAUAAUAUUCAAUAGACAUAUUUUCAUUGACAUAAUAUUCAGUAGGCCUAUUUUAGCUACAGUUUGAUCACCAUCUAAGCCGUAGCUAUUUGUGCCAGAGAUGACCACUCCUUUAUUUUUUGUUCCUGUGUGCCAAAACAGUGCUUGCAUGUUUUCCACACAGAAAUUCACUAAUACAUAAAUCUGGACGAGUGCAUUUGAUAUCUAUGUGAUUACAUGGUGAAAAUAGGCCUUUUGAUGGCCUGCUCGGAUUCUCCUAGGUAAAAAUGGUAAAGUUACUUUUACUGAGCAUGCACAUGCGAGUUGAGUAUCCUGUAUUUUUUGGAAUUUGAGUUUAUUCAUGAGUUCCUUUAUGGUGUGAUGAUAUCUGCAUGCAAACUAGAAUUCUGCUCCAAACUUGCAUAUGAAAUGAUGAAAUGCAAUGAACAAUACUUUUUGAGCUGUUGUAAAGUUUAAUCUCUACUACACCAUAUGUUGGUAACGAGGGCGUCCACCGGCAUCACCACGCCUCCGCCCUCACCCUCCCCCCCGCCAAUCUCGCAGCAGCGCGCCAUCCCAGCUCGGAAAUCUCGCAUCGGCUCUCACCGCGUCGAAGCCAUUCCCCAGUCGUCACCAGCGCGACACCAUUCCCUCCCUGUUCAAGCCCUUCCCCACCGGAGACCUCUCCCUUCCCCACUUCCCCACUGUGGUCCCCCUUCCCCACCCACCGUAGACUGCACCAUUCACCGGAUACCGCUUCCUCCAAUCCCAUCUCGACCCUCUGCCCUCCUCGGGUUCCUAGAGCACAUGAGCAGGGGAGGUUUCCACCAGGCCGAGGCGCCAUACCAGUCCGCUCUCGCUGCACGCGUCGUCGCGUGGGCCAUUGACUUCAGCUUCUCCUUCCUCAUCAUCGAGGACCUCGUCACCAGUGGGUCCUCCAUGCUCGAGAUCGCCGCCCCACUCCGCGUCGAGGGGCUCGUGGUCGCCGACGCCAUCGUUGUCGUCAACCCUGAGCAGGGCGACAGGAAGAACCUCAGCUAAUGGGAUCAUGCUGCACUCGCUCAUGACCCUAAUAGAGUUCCUAAGGUGAUUCAUAUACAUUGUAAGUGAAACGAAGAACAUGCAUUUUUAUGGGUGUUAUACUGCUAAUGGUAGUUUCCCCUUAUAAUUAAUUUAAUAGUUUAAUAAAAGAUAACACACCCAGCACUUGAUUUUUGUCAAAGGUUUUGCAAACAUGUUACCUAUCUGGUUAAUUUUGGAUUUUUUAAAUUCUACUUCAGAAAUAGCAGCUUCACAUGACUUUUCUUCACUGGUAAUUGAUGCUUCGAUGUUGGAGGAAAUAUGAUUUUAAAAUAAAAACCUCAACAGUUGGGUUGAUCAGUUCACUUGCUUUAAGAAGUAUAGUACUGAUAGUAUGAGAAUGGACUACACCAAUAAAAAAGGUUAAUGCUUCCAUACCUAAUGGGUUGUAGUUCAAAAAUUGAGGUUCCUUCCUUUGUUUUCCUUCAUACAAUCUUGAUUGGCUGCUUCUGCUGUAAGCUAAAGUAAUUGUUCCAUUUAUGAACAAAUUGUCCCUAUGCAUAUUCUCAUGUUUUUCUUUUGAUUUAUUUUAGAAAAUGGUUUAGAGAUCGAGGAAGUCACUCGUGAGAAAGUGAAUUUCUUAGAAGAGCUUUUGAGCAGCACAUAAUUUGCUUACCAAUUAGCGGAUCUGAUGACUUCAGCAAAAGCAUAUGUCAUCCUUGCAAAGAGCAUGAUAAUCUUUCGCUUGCAUGGGAGCUUAGUUCGCAGAUAAGGAAUUGCCAAAGAUUGUUCUCUAAAGGGGCAGUUAGUGGGAGAGCAAUCACUUGCUUUAGUUAGUAAUUUAAAAACUUUGGACUCCAAUCAGUUAUGUAUAGUAGAAUCAAAUGUCAGUUAACAUAAACAUAAGGGGUCUUCCCAUGACAUGAUAUGUUAGCAUGGAUGUCCAUCGAGGCUGUGAUGCACUCUGCAUUUGUUUUAUUCAUGUAUAACUGUAAUCAUAUUAUAGUUUUUUUUGGGAAAUGUUUGCUCUAUACCCGAUCAUAUUCUAAAGCCACCAUUGAGUCUCAACCUGUCUUACUUAACAUUUGUAGUCACCUAUCUGUGUGUAGAGCUGCACUAGCUGUUCUUAUUGUCAGGUUCUGUUGGUGAGAACAUGUUCCAUUGGCAAGCGACCAUCAUGGGGCCUUCAGACACCCCAUUUGCAGGUGGGGUAUUCUUGGUGAACAUUCACUUCCCACCGGAUUACCCUUUCAAGCCACCAAAGGUGUCUUUCCACACCAAGGUUUUCGACCUGAACAUUAACGACAACAACAACAUUUGCCUUGGACAUUCUUAAGGAACAAUGUGGCAAAACUUAUUUCACGCUCUGUAGGAAAGGGAAACACCAUUCUUUCGCAUAAGCACGAUGGUUCGGCCAACUGAACAUGUCCCAGUCCACAACUAUGUAGCUGAGAACCUCAUAGGUAGAUUCACAGUAGUUAACUGUCUGCUUGAACAAACUGAUGCAGAUGUUUGUUCUAUGUAAAAGAUGACACUGUUGUUGGUUUUAAUACUGAAAUGUCAUCCUAACCAUUUUAGUAGCUAUGUCCAACACAUUCUAUUUUCAUUUCUCUAAAUGUUGGCAGCUGCUCUCCAAUACGUAUUACAUAGUUGUCUCAUGGUCUAUGUAAGGAAACCUUGAACCUGAAUGCGCAUAACUUUAGUUGCUCUACCUGUUUUUAGAGGAAUUAUAUUUAGAUGGGUUGAAUAUUGUCAUAAUAUAUGUCCAUAUGUAAGUAAUAUAGAAAUCACGUCACAACAUAUUUCUCCACAACAUAUAAGAUAAGAGGGUCAUAUUUGUGAGCUAAAAUAAUUUUGAUAGAUAAGAGGGUCAUAUUUGUGAGCUAGAAUAGUUUUGAUACCCACAACUCACCAUCUCCUUUUUUUUCUACUUUUCACCGUGCAAUGCAAAAUUGUUCUAAGAAGGUCAUGGUACAUCACCAUAUCAUAUAUUACCAACUUUUAGGAUUUGCCUAAUUCAAUUAAUAGUGAUAUUGAGCCAAAUUUUGGUUGUUCGAAAUGUCAGACUUGAAAGGGAAAUGUGCCCUUGGGCCAUUUCUAAGUAUUUUGGUGAUUGAGUGUCAACACGAGUGUUUAACUGUGAAUCAACGCCCAUGGAUGAACAAAGUGCAAAUCUAGAGAAAAGGUAUGUUUCUAAGUCUUAGUACAUUGGUUUUGUGUACUAAUAUAUUUGUCUAAGUGUUAGAAACAGAUAGAAGAAGAAAAGAGAAGACUUGGAUGUGUGCAGCCAAGGGGCUGUUUCGGUCUGGGGCACCGGACUGUCCGGUGGUGCACCAGACAGUGUCCGGUGGUGCACCGGACAGUGUCCGGUGCACCAGGAUGCCUUGGCCGAAGAGGCCGCUCUCGGGUUUUUUCUCCGGCGACUUCGGCUAAAAUUCACCGGACUGUCCGGUGUGCACCGGACUGUCCGGUGAGCCAACGGUCGGCCGGGCCAACGGUCGGCCGCGCGAUCGGCGCGCGACACGUGGCCGAGCCAACGGUCGGAAUGGGGCACCGGACUGUCCGGUGUGCACCGGACAUGUCCGGUGCGCCAACGGCGCCCAGAUCUGCAUCAGAAAGCAACGGUCGGAUGAGCUUUUUAUGGAAACAAAUCGGGCACCGGACAGUGUCCGGUGUGCACCGGACUGUCCGGUGCGCCCGACGACAGAAGGCAAGGAUAGCCUUCCAGAUGUGUUCUCAACGGCUCCUAGCUGCCUUGGGGCUAUAAAAGGGACCCCUAGGCGCAUGGAGGAGUACACCAAGCAUUCCUACAACUCUUCUAAGCACCAAGACACCAAUCUCACGCAUCCGUUUCAUUGUGAUAGCAUAUAGAGCUCUUGUGGAGUUGUGAACUCUUUGUGUUGCGUUGCGAGCUCUUGUUGCGACUUGUGUGCGUGUUGUUGCUCUGAUUUUCGAGUCUUGUGUGCGUUGCUCAUUCCCACCUUACUCCGUAUUUCUUUGUGAACUCAAUUGUAAGGGCGAGAGACUCCAAGUUGUGGAGAUUCCUCGCAAACGGGAAAAGAUCAAAGGAAAGAGAAACACCGUGGUAUUCAAGUUGAUCAUUGGAUCACUUGAGAGGAGUUGAGUGCAACUCUCGUCCGUUGGGACGCCACAACGUGGAGUAGGCAAGUUUCGUACUUGGCCGAACCACGGGA